GAUGAACGCUGGCGGCGUGCCUAACACAUGCAAGUCGAGCGAGAAAUUCAAGAUCAAAUCUUCGGAAGAGAGAAAGAAUGGAAAGCGCGGACGGGUGAGUAACGCGUAGGUAACCUGCCCUGUACAGAGGGAUAGCCACUGGAAACGGUGAUUAAUACCUCAUAAUACCGGAAGUUCACAUGGACAAUCGGUCAAAGAUUUAUCGGUACAGGAUGGACCUGCGUCUGAUUAGUUAGUUGGUGAGGUAACGGCUCACCAAGGCGACGAUCAGUAGCCGACCUGAGAGGGUGAUCGGCCACAUUGGAACUGAGACACGGUCCAAACUCCUACGGGAGGCAGCAGUGGGGAAUAUUGCACAAUGGGGGGAACCCUGAUGCAGCAACGCCGCGUGAAUGAAGAAGGCCUUUGGGUCGUAAAGUUCUGUUCUGAGGGAAGAAGAAAGUGACGGUACCUCAGGAGAAAGCCCGGCUAA
rnacentral:rRNA from 1 species